CCUGGGGGCAGCAGUGGGGAAUAUUGGACAAUGGGCGAAAGCCUGAUCCAGCCAUGCCGCGUGUGUGAAGAAGGCCUUCGGGUUGUAAAGAACUUUCAGUGGGGAAGAAAGCCUUGGGGCUAAUACCCUCGAGGAAGGACAUCACCCACAGAAGAAGCACCGGCUAACUCCGUGCCAGCAGCCGCGGUAAUACGGAGGGUGCGAGCGUUAAUCGGAAUUACUGGGCGUAAAGCGCGCGUAGGCGGUCUGAUAAGCCGGUUGUGAAAGCCCCGGGCUCAACCUGGGAACGGCAUCCGGAACUGUCAGGCUAGAGUGCAGGAGAGGAAGGUAGAAUUCCCGGUGUAGCGGUGAAAUGCGUAGAGAUCGGGAGGAAUACCAGUGGCGAAGGCGGCCUUCUGGACUGACACUGACGCUGAGGUGCGAAAGCGUGGGUAGCAAACAGGAUUAGAUACCCGGGUAGUC
rnacentral:rRNA from 1 species